rnacentral:rRNA from 1 species
GAUGAACGCUGGCGGCGUGCCUAAUACAUGCAAGUCGAGCGAACAGACGAGGACCUUGCUCCUCUGACGUUAGCGGCGGACGGGUGAGUAACACGUGGAUAACCUACCUAUAAGACUGGGAUAACUUCGGGAAACCGGAGCUAAUACCGGAUAAUAUAUUGAACCGCAUGGUUCAAUAGUGAAAGACGGUUUUGCUGUCACUUAUUGAUGGAUCCGCGCCGCAUUAGCUAGUUGGUAAGGUAACGGCUUACCAAGGCGACGAUGCGUAGCCGACCUGAGAGGGUGAUCGGCCACACUGGAACUGAGACACGGUCCAGACUCCUACGGGAGGCAGCAGUAGGGAAUCUUCCGCAAUGGGCGAAAGCCUGACGGAGCAACGCCGCGUGAGUGAUGAAGGUCUUCGGAUCGUAAAACUCUGUUAUUAGGGAAGAACAAAUGUGUAAGUAACUAUGCACGUCUUGACGGUACCUAAUCAGAAAGCCACGGCUAACUACGUG